rnacentral:rRNA from 1 species
AUUGAACGCUGGCGGCAGGCUUAACACAUGCAAGUCGAGCGAGCGGCGGACGGGUGAGUAAUGUCUGGGAAACUGCCUGAUGGAGGGGGAUAAAUACUGGAAACGGUAGCUAAUACCGCAUACCAUCAGAUGUGCCCAGAUGGGAUUAGCUAGUAGGUGGGGUAAUGGCCAACCUAGGCGACGAUCCCUAUCUGGUCUGAGCUGAUGACCCGCCAAACUGGAAAGUCGACACGGUCAGGACUCCUACGGGAGGCAGCAGUGGGGAAUAUUGCACAAGGGGCGCAAGCCUGAUGCAGCCAUGCCGCGUGUGGGAAGAAGGCCUUCGGGUUGUAAAGCACGUUCAGCGAGGAGGCGUUACUCGCAGAAGAAGCACCGGCUAACUCCGUGCCAGCAGCCGCGGUAAUUC